UUACAAUUUGGAUCAAAAUGUUCCCAGAUC
rnacentral:piRNA from 1 species